UACGUAGGGGGCAAGCGUUGUCCGGAUUUAUUGGGCGUAAAGCGCGUGUAGGCGGCCACGCAGGUCCGCUGUGAAAACUCGAGGCUCAACCUCGAGCUGUCGGUGGAAACCGCGUGGCUAGAGUCCGGAAGAGGGGACUGGAAUUCCCGGUGUAGCGGCGGAAUGCGCAGAUAUCGGGAGGAACACCCGUGGCGAAGGCGGGUCCCUGGGACGGUACUGACGCUGAGACGCGAAAGCGUGGGGAGCGAACAGG
rnacentral:rRNA from 1 species